rnacentral:rRNA from 1 species
GACGAACGCUGGCGGCGUGCUUAACACAUGCAAGUCGAGCGGUAAGGCCCUUUCGGGGGUACACGAGCGGCGAGCGGGUGAGUAACACGUGGGUGACCUGCCCUCAGCUCUGGGAUAAGCCUGGGAAACCGGGUCUAAUACUGGAUAUGACUCCAUGACGCAUGUUGUGGGGUGGAAAGCCUUGUGCGGCUGAGGAUGGGCCCGCGGCCUAUCAGCUUGUUGGUGGGGUGAUGGCCUACCAAGGCGACGACGGGUAGCCGGCCUGAGAGGGCGACCGGGCCACACUGGGACUGAGACACGGGCCCCAGACUCCUACGGGAGGCAGCAGUGGGGAAUCUUGCGGCAACGGGCGAAAGCCUGACGCAAGCGACGCCGCGUGAGGGAUGACGGCCU